AGAUCAGAACAACGAAUUCAGACCCAGACCGGGUCAUUCUCGACCCGAACGGAGUCGAUGGGUCAACCUGACUUUUUCUUCGUCCUCUGGCGACGACGUGGCGGAAGAUUGGUGGCAACGGCCUCAUCUCAUCCUCCCCGACCUCCUUGUGAAUCAAGUUUGAAGAGUGGAGCUCUGGAGAAGAAGAAUCGCAGAAGGAGAAGAGAGACUGGGUUCGUCGGCGAUCUUCGGAUUCCAGUCCAGACGAUGACCACGACCGGUGCUGGUAGCUUCGUUUCAACUCCCUGAAUAUCUUUGUUGUAUUGGCUUUCGAAGAGAAGCCUUGAGGAGGGAGAAUCGAGCAGAGGAAGUCUUUGAGUUUUCCGGCGGGAGUUCUGUGUAUUCCGGCCACCGGAAUACCUUUGUGAGGCAUGAAACUUGAUCUUCUCGUCGAACUCUACCUUUGUGUAUAGUUGAAUUUGAGAUUGGUUGGGAUUUGAAGAAUUUAGUUUUUGGCAGUGGAGGACCGUCAUGUGUGCUGCUGUUCACAGCAGCGGCGGUGGUUGUAGGAGUUGUUUUUUGGUUUUGUUAAUUUACUGAUUAUGAAGGAGUAAAUUAACGUGUUUGGAUUCUAGAAAUUGGAAGAGUUUUGGUGUUGGAGAGGUUGGAGCUGUGUAGAUGUGUAUCAUGUUAAUACAAAAGAGCUCAUUUAGUUUCUUUGAUAUUUGAGAGCAGUGAGGAAGCUCUGAAAAUGUUAGUUCUGAUCAUUUUCUUCCUUUAGUUUGAUUGUUGGCAGCGGUGGUGAAUGGUGAUGGUUAUUGCAGUGGCUUUUGGUGUUGUUAAUGCAUGAGUUCUUGCUCAUUGCCAUGGUGGAAUCGAUGUUUCCCACUUCAUCCUCUCUAUGUCCGUGAUCAUGGGUUAAAGAGCACAGAGCAAGACUCUUCUGCUCUUAUUCUGAACGGGGAAUAGUUCAAGAAAGCUGUUGAUGCUUGUAGUGAAAUUGUCAACCUUUAGAUUAGAGGCUGAAAAGGAAGCGGAGAUUAAGGACGUGGUGAAGCUCUGUCAUUUGGACAAGAGCACAGCAAGGAUGGACCAAGCUAAAGAAAGAGGCAAAAUCGGUCAAAAUGGGACUCCAGUUAGCUGAAAAUAAAGAUGGUGGUGUUGGCCUAGAGAAACCUAAUGGAAACAAGCUGCGAUAUUUCAGGUAGGGGAUUCUAGACUUGCCUCGGUUAGUGAUUUUAUGCAUAUGAUAUUAAAGUAAAGUAAUUUAUGAUAUAUUUUCGAAUUCUUGUGAAUUACUGUUUGAUGACCUGAGAG